GUGGGUAUUGCUCAGUGGUAGAGCGUAUGCUUAGCAUACACGAGGUCCUGGGUUCAAUCCCCAGUACCUCCU
rnacentral:tRNA from 1 species